rnacentral:rRNA from 1 species
UACGUAGGUGACAAGCGUUGUCCGGAUUUACUGGGCGUAAAGAGCGCGCAGGCGGUCGUUCAAGUCGAGUGUGAAAGCCCCCGGCUCAACUGGGGAGGGUCACUCGAUACUGAUCGACUCGAAGGCAGGAGAGGGUAGUGGAAUUCCCGGUGUAGUGGUGAAAUGCGUAGAUAUCGGGAGGAACACCAGUGGCGAAGGCGACUACCUGGCCUGUUCUUGACGCUGAGGCGCGAAAGCGUGGGGAGCGAACCGG